CGAGCGGAUGAAGUAGCUUGCUACUGGAUUCAGCGGCGGACGGGUGAGUAAUGCUUAGGAAUCUGCCUAUUAGUGGGGGACAACGUUCCGAAAGGAGCGCUAAUACCGCAUACGUCCUACGGGAGAAAGCAGGGGAUCUUCGGGCCUUGCGCUAAUAGAUGAGCCUAAGUCGGAUUAGCUAGUUGGUAGGGUAAAGGCCUACCAAGGCGACGAUCUGUAGCGGGUCUGAGAGGAUGAUCCGCCACACUGGGACUGAGACACGGCCCAGACUCCUACGGGAGGCAGCAGUGGGGAAUAUUGGACAAUGGGGGGAACCCUGAUCCAGCCAUGCCGCGUGUGUGAAGAAGGCCUUUUGGUUGUAAAGCACUUUAAGCGAGGAGGAGGCUACCUAGAUUAAUACUUUAGGAUAGUGGACGUUACUCGCAAAAUAAGCACCGGCUAACUCUGUGCCAGCAGCCGCGGUAAUACAGAGGGUGCGAGCGUUAAUCGGAUUUACUGGGCGUAAAGCGUGCGUAGGCGGCCAAUUAAUUCAAAUGUGAAAUCCCCGAGCUUAACUUGGGAAUUGCAUUCGAUACUGGUUGGCUAGAGUAUGGGAGAGGAUGGUAGAAUUCCAGGUGUAGCGGUGAAAUGCGUAG
rnacentral:rRNA from 1 species